CUCUAUCCAGACAGUCCUGUCUGCUCUCCUCUCUCCUCUCUUCUCUCUCUCUCUCUCUCUCUCUCUCUCUCACCUGUUCCUCUCUGCUGUUUAUGAUCACCAGGUCUGCUCCUCUAUCCAGACAGUCCUGUCUGCUCUCCUCUCUCCUCUCUUCUCUCUCUCUCUCUCUCUCUCUCUCUCUCUCUCUCUCUCUCUCUCUCUCUCUCUCACCUGUUCCUCUCUGCUGUUUAUGAUGACCAGGUCUGCUCCUCU
ensembl:lncRNA